GACGAACGCUGGCGGCAUGCCUAAUACAUGCAAGUCGAACGCAGUGGGGACGGGUGAGUAACACGUGGGUAACCUCCCAUCAGAGGAGAUAACACUUGGAUACAGGUGCUAAACCGAUACGGGUGGAUGGACCCGCGGGGCAUUAGCUAGUUGGGGGGGAAACGGCUCACCAAGGCAACGAGGCAUAGCCGACCUGAUGGGGUGAUCGGCCACACUGGGACUGAGACACGGCCCAGACUCCUACGGGAGGAAGCAGUAGGGAAUGUGCGGCAAUGGACGAAAGUCUGACCGAGCAAGGCCGCGUGAGUGAAGAAGGUUUUCGGAUCGUAAACCUCUGUUGUUAGAGAAGCGGUAUCUAACCAGAAAGCCACGGCUAACUACGUGCCAGCCGCCGCGGUAAUAC
rnacentral:rRNA from 1 species